AGGUAAGCUACUAAGAGCGAAUGGUGGAUGCCUUGACUGGUAAAGGCGAUGAAGGACGUACUAGACUGCGAUAAGCUACGGGGAGCUGUCAAGAAGCUUUGAUCCGUAGAUUUCCGAAUGGGGCAACCCAAUGUAUAGAGAUAUACAUUACCUAUAUAGGAGCGAACGAGGGGAAUUGAAACAUCUUAGUACCCUCAGGAAAAGAAAUCAAUAGAGAUUGCGUCAGUAGCGGCGAGCGAAAGCGCAAGAGGGCAAACCCAGUGCUUGCACUGGGGGUUGUAGGACUGCAAUGUGCAAGAGGUAAGUUUAGCAGAACAUUCUGGAAAGUAUAGCCAUAGAGGGUGAUAGUCCCGUAUGCGAAAAACAAACCUUAGCUAGCAGUAUCCUGAGUAGGGCGGGACACGAGGAAUCCUGUCUGAAUCCGGGUCGACCACGAUCCAACCCUAAAUACUAAUACCAGAUCGAUAGUGCACAAGUACCGUGAGGGAAAGGUGAAAAGAACUGAGGUGAUCAGAGUGAAAUAGAACCUGAAACCAUUUGCUUACAAUCAUUCAGAGCCCUAUGUAGCAAUACAGGGUGAUGGACUGCCUUUUGCAUAAUGAGCCUGCGAGUUGUGGUGUCUGGCAAGGUUAAGCAAACGCGAAGCCGUAGCGAAAGCGAGUCUGAAUAGGGCGCUUAGUCAGAUGCUGCAGACCCGAAACGAAGUGAUCUAUCCAUGAGCAAGUUGAAGCUAGUGUAAGAACUAGUGGAGGACUGAACCCAUAGGCGUUGAAAAGCCCCGGGAUGACUUGUGGAUAGGGGUGAAAGGCCAAUCAAACUUCGUGAUAGCUGGUUCUCUCCGAAAUAUAUUUAGGUAUAGCGUUGUGUCGUAAUAUAAGGGGGUAGAGCACUGAAUGGGCUAGGGCAUACACCAAUGUACCAAACCCUAUCAAACUCCGAAUACCUUAUAUGUAAUCACAGCAGUCAGGCGGCGAGUGAUAAAAUCCGUCGUCAAGAGGGAAACAACCCAG
rnacentral:rRNA from 1 species